rnacentral:RNase_P_RNA from 1 species
CCGGUCAAUCGGGUAAUCGCUCGGUUGGGUUAAUCCCCGACCGGGAGGAAAGUCCGAACACCCUUCUCCGCUCGACGGCGGACCAAAAAAGAUAGAGGGUAAUACCCUUCGGCCGCAAGGCUAGAGGUGCGAACAGAAACGGCCCGAGGCGAAAGCUAAGGGCUACCCCGCCCAACGCGAGGUAAGUCCCGGGGGCAACCCUGGGAAUGAAACGGCCAAAUCCUUAUCGGGCGCAAGAACAAAGCUCGUCGGAAUUUCCCCGCGGAAAAUCCUGAGGAGUUAAAAGUAGUUCGCUAGAUCCCGAGGGCAACCGAGGGACCAGAGAAAUGAUUGCCUCCUUCCUUAACCGGAAGCAGACAGAAUUCGGCUUACAGACUGACCGGAAUA